UACGUAGGUGACAAGCGUUGUCCGGAUUUACUGGGCGUAAAGAGCGCGCAGGCGGUCGUUCAAGUCGGGUGUGAAAGCCCCCGGCUCAACUGGGGAGGGUCAUUCGAUACUGAUCGACUCGAAGGCAGGAGAGGGAAGUGGAAUUCCCGGUGUAGUGGUGAAAUGCGUAGAUAUCGGGAGGAACACCAGUGGCGAAGGCGACUUCCUGGCCUGUUCUUGACGCUGAGGCGCGAAAGCUAGGGUAGCAAACGGG
rnacentral:rRNA from 1 species